GAUGAACGCUGGCGGCGUGCUUAACACAUGCAAGUCGAACGAUGAAGCUCAGCUUGCUGGGUGGUUUAGUGGCGAACGGGUGAGUAACACGUGAGUAACCUGCCCUUAACUCUGGGAUAAGCCUGGGAAACUAGGUCUAAUACCGGAUAGGAGCGCCUACCGCAUGGUGGGUGUUGGAGAGAUUUAUCGGUUUUGGAUGGACUCGCGGCCUAUCAGCUUGUUGGUGAGGUAAUGGCUCACCAAGGCGACGACGGGUAGCCGGCCUGAGAGGGUGACCGGCCACACUGGGACUGAGACACGGCCCAGACUCCUACGGGAGGCAGCAGUGGGGAAUAUUGCACAAUGGGCGAAAGCCUGAUGCAGCGACGCCGCGUGAGGGAUGACGGCCUUCGGGUUGUAAACCUCUUUCAGUAGGGAAGAAGCGAAAGUGACGGUACCUGCAGAAGAAGCACCGGCUAACUACGUG
rnacentral:rRNA from 1 species